AGCGAACGCUGGCGGCAGGCUUAACACAUGCAAGUCGAGCGGGCACUUCGGGGUCAGCGGCGGACGGGGGAGUAACGCGUGGGAACGUGCCCUUUGGUCUGGAAUAAUUCUGGGUAACUAGGGCUAAUAACGGAUACGCUCAUUUGGGGAAGGGGUUCCUGCCGGAUGCUCGGCCCGUGUCGGAUUGGCCGGUUGGGGGUGUAAUGGCAUACCAAGGCGACGAUGAGUAGCUGGUGGGAGAGGAUGAUCUGCAGCACUGGGACUGAGACACGGCCCAGACUCCUACGGGAGGGAGCAGUGGGGAAUAUUGGGCAAUGGGCGCAAGCCUGAUCCAGCCAUGCCGCGUGAGUGAUGAAGGCCUUAGGGUUGUAAAGCUCUUUUAUCCGGGACGAUAAUGACGGUACCGGAGGAAUAAGCCCCGGCUAACUUCGUG
rnacentral:rRNA from 1 species